GACGAACGCUGGCGGCGUGCCUAAUACAUGCAAGUAGAACGCUGAAGAGAGGAGCUUGCUCUUCUUGGAUGAGUUGCGAACGGGUGAGUAACGCGUAGGUAACCUGCCUUGUAGCGGGGGAUAACUAUUGGAAACGAUAGCUAAUACCGCAUAACAAUGGAUGACACAUGUCAUUUAUUUGAAAGGGGCAAUUGCUCCACUACAAGAUGGACCUGCGUUGUAUUAGCUAGUAGGUGAGGUAACGGCUCACCUAGGCGACGAUACAUAGCCGACCUGAGAGGGUGAUCGGCCACACUGGGACUGAGACACGGCCCAGACUCCUACGGGAGGCAGCAGUAGGGAAUCUUCGGCAAUGGGGGCAACCCUGACCGAGCAACGCCGCGUGAGUGAAGAAGGUUUUCGGAUCGUAAAGCUCUGUUGUAAGUCAAGAACGAGUGUGAGAGUGGAAAGUUCACACUGUGACGGUAGCUU
rnacentral:rRNA from 1 species